GACGAACGCUGGCGGCGUGCUUAACACAUGCAAGUCGAACGGAAAGGCCCUGCUUUUGUGGGGUGCUCGAGUGGCGAACGGGUGAGUAACACGUGAGUAACCUGCCCUUGACUUUGGGAUAACUUCAGGAAACUGGGGCUAAUACCGGAUAGGAGCUCCUGCUGCAUGGUGGGGGUUGGAAAGUUUCGGCGGUUGGGGAUGGACUCGCGGCUUAUCAGCUUGUUGGUGGGGUAGUGGCUUACCAAGGCUUUGACGGGUAGCCGGCCUGAGGGGGUGACCGGCCACAUUAGGACUGAGAUACGGCCCAGACUCCUACGGGAGGCAGCAGUGGGGAAUAUUGCACAAUGGGCGGAAGCCUGAUGCAGCAACGCCGCGUGCGGGAUGACGGCCUUCGGGUUGUAAACCGCUUUCGCCUGUGACGAAGCGUGAGUGACGGUAAUGGGUAAAGAAGCACCGGCUAACUACGUGCCAGCAGCCGCGGUGAUACGUAGGGUGCGAGCGUUGUCCGGAUUUAUUGGGCGUAAAGGGCUCGUAGGUGGUUGAUCGCGUCGGAAGUGUAAUCUUGGGGCUUAACCCUGAGCGUGCUUUCGAUACGGGUUGACUUGAGGAAGGUAGGGGAGAAUGGAAUUCCUGGUGGAGCGGUGGAAUGCGCAGAUAUCAGGAGGAACACCAGUGGCGAAGGCGGUUCUCUGGGCCUUUCCUGACGCUGAGGAGCGAAAGCGUGGGGAGCGAACAGGCUUAGAUACCCUGGUAGUCCACGCUGUAAACGGUGGGUACUAGGUGUGGGGUCCAUUCCACGGGUUCCGUGCCGUAGCUAACGCUUUAAGUACCCCGCCUGGGGAGUACGGCCGCAAGGCUAAAACUCAAAGGAAUUGACGGGGCCCCGCACAAGCGGCGGAGCAUGCGGAUUAAUUCGAUGCAACGCGUAGAACCUUACCUGGGUUUGACAUGGAUCGGGAGCGCUCAGAGAUGGGUGUGCCUCUUUUGGGGUCGGUUCACAGGUGGUGCAUGGCUGUCGUCAGCUCGUGUCGUGAGAUGUUGGGUUAAGUCCCGCAACGAGCGCAACCCUUGUUCACUGUUGCCAGCACGUUAUGGUGGGGACUCAGUGGAGACCGCCGGGGUCAACUCGGAGGAAGGUGGGGAUGACGUCAAGUCAUCAUGCCCCUUAUGUCCAGGGCUUCACGCAUGCUACAAUGGCUGGUACAGAGAGUGGCGAGCCUGUGAGGGUGAGCGAAUCUCGGAAAGCCGGUCUCAGUUCGGACUGGGGUCUGCAACUCGACCUCAUGAAGUCGGAGUCGCUAGUAAUCGCAGAUCAGCAACGCUGCGGUGAAUACGUUCCCGGG
rnacentral:rRNA from 1 species